CUGGUUUUAUUGCAUUGAACAAUGUAGAAAUUAGGACAGUAUUUCACUUUUACUUAUCUAAAAUAUGUAAUUUGAAUAAUGCAUUCCCAAACAAGUUUGAAAAUGUAUAAUUAUAAAUAAUCGAAUAUCGAUGAUAUAUUGAUAUUUUCAUAGUAGGUUUAUCGAUAGUGGGUUUAUUGAUCAUGGGAAAGCGGUUGUUGGUCAAUGGCGGGAAUGGCUUCAGCAAUGCAACAUUUGGAUUGUAACGGAUUUUUUGGUGUCUGUUGUUUUGUGAUUUUUGUGAAAGAUCCAGUUUAAGGAGCUGUGGUGAUAACAUUUUCCAACACAAAAGAAAAAGACAUGGAAGCAGUAAUCAAAGACUGGCUGAAGUCUUCAAAAAUUCGGUUUACCAGCAAAGAGAAAUCUAAAAAUGUUCAAACACCGGAUCUUGGAGGAAAAUCAGAAUGCUUCAAAAAUUGAGAUUGAAUUGAGGUGCAGUAACAUAAACCUGUAUGUAGCUCAAAAAAUUGCUACUUCAAACAGGAAUAUAAUAAAGUAAUCUGGAGCACCACAAUAAGGACCUUUCUUCAUAGAUAAAUGACAUGCAUAUGAGUUAUUUUGAUAAACAACUUUUCACAUUAUUUAUGUCUUAACUAUUUACAUUCCUUAAUAUUCCAUCAAUAUGUCGAUAGACAUCUAUUCACUGAAUCCAAUUCACUUAUAUUGAUUAUAGGUACCUA